rnacentral:misc_RNA from 1 species
UAAAGUGCGAUAUGUAGUGCGAUUUGCAUGAAUCUGUGAGUCAUCUAAUCUUUGAACGCAACUUGCGCCUCUAUGAGGCAUGUCUGUUUGAGUGCUGUUAGGUUAUAUGCAGCAAUGCGAGAUGACCCGUGUUUUUGGACUGGGUCUAAACAAAGCCAGAUAGUGGGUUGGGUGGGCUAAUUAGGGUGCUAAGCAUUCUCUAGUUAGUCUAUGCGAUUCACAGGCGGGUGUCAUGUCAUGUUAUGCAUGUUAUAUGUUAUGCAUGUUAUGCCACCACCCCUUAAUUUUGGCCUCAAAUCAGGCAAGACUACCCGCUGAACUUAA